rnacentral:rRNA from 1 species
GGUAGCCUACGGGAGGCAGCAGUGAGGAAUAUUGGUCAAUGGGCGGGAGCCUGAACCAGCCAAGUCGCGUGAGGGAAGACGGUCCUAUGGAUUGUAAACCUCUUUAGGCGGGGAGCAAUGCCGGGCACGCGUGCCCGGAGGGAGAGUACCCGCAGAAUAAGCAUCGGCUAACUCCGUGCCAGCAGCCGCGGUAAUACGUAUGGUGCAAGCGUUAUCCGGAUUUACUGGGUGUAAAGGGAGCGCAGGCGGCGCGUUAAGCCUGGUGUGAAAGCCCGCGGCCCAACCGCGGGACUGCAUUGGGAACU